UAGGGAAUCUUCCACAAUGGACGCAAGUCUGAUGGAGCAACGCCGCGUGAGUGAAGAAGGUUUUCGGAUCGUAAAGCUCUGUUGUUGGUGAAGAAGGAUAGAGGUAGUAACUGGCCUUUAUUUGACGGUAAUCAACCAGAAAGUCACGGCUAACUACGUGCCAGCAGCCGCGGUAAUACGUAGGUGGCAAGCGUUGUCCGGAUUGAUUGGGCGUAAAGCGAGCGCAGGCGGAAGAAUAAGUCUGAUGUUAAAGCCCUCGGCUUAACCGAGGAACUGCAUCGGAAACUGUUUUUCUUGAGUGCUGAAGUGGAGAGUGGAACUCCAUGUGUAGCGGUGGAAUGCGUAGAUAUAUGGAAAAACACCAGCGGCGAAGGCGACUCUCUGGUCUGCAACUGACGCUGAGGCUCGAAAGCAUAGGUAGCGAACAGG
rnacentral:rRNA from 1 species